GGCCUGAGUGCACGCGGCCCUUCGUGGAAGGUUCCAGAGUCCCCGGGUCCCUGGUCACAGUGGAAGGGCCAUCGACAGAGGCCCUCAGUCCCGGGCUGGUGGCAAGAUCACAGAGCACUGGAGUCAGCCUGGCCUUGGAUUCUUACUGCAUCACGUAGCAGCUGUGGGCGCUCGGGCACUGGGAAUACAUAUGGAAACGCAGAAGGAGACUCUAUCUUCAAGAAGCUACAGUCCCAAGGGCAAGACAGAUACUAAACACAUAACCAAAUAAAGAAGAUGCUUUAAGAGAGCAAAAGUGUCAUGAAGAAAUAAGACGAGGGAAAGAGAGGGGACAAGAGAAGACCCGCCACAGACAAAGGGAUUGAGGAGGUUUCGCAUCAGUCGAAGGCUGGGAUGAUGCAGAGGAAGUGGCCACAUGAAGACACGCAAGGGCAGGGGCCACGUCCACCCAACAGAGCCAUUCAGACCUCCCUGCCUCUUGGGCUGGGGGCCCAGUGGUGAAGAGAGAGGUGGGAUUACAGGGCAGAGGCUGAGCUGUAGCAGCAGUGACUCCAGUGGAGGAGGCGGCAGGAAAGACAGGGAGAGACACGGGCGGACGAUGAGAAAGGAGGAGGACGUCAGGCUUCCUCUAAUGCUACUCAGAUCAUCACGGCCUCUGACACGUCCGCUUUCAUCGCCGUCCGCCCUGAAUGCAAAACAUCAUGGGAAUGCUUCACGGACACUGGCGAAGUGUGAGUGAGUGAGUCUCAGCCCUGCUCACAGGAGGCCACGACCGAGCCUGGAGCGCGUCUCCACGCAGAGGCCCGAGGCGGUCGGUCUGCGGACAGGCUGCUCUGGUCCCAAGGGGCGGGAAGCCUGGGAAACUAGAGCUGAGCACCUGCGACGCCCCCACCCCAGGCUCACGUCUCCCACGCUGGGCCCCUUCAUCCUGAGAGCCUUUCCCCCAAACGUAGCUCUGAUCAUAAAUUUCAAGUGGUAUUUUAGCAUUUCAGUACUUCCAUAUUCUGAGUUGGCACUCGCCCUUGUUCCUGGGAAAAUUAAAAGUCCCCAAGAUGAAACCUCAUUAGCAACACAACAGGGGACAGGCAACUGCUGCCGUGCAGGGCGCAACACAGGGUGCGGCAGGCGGCUCCUCCGUGGCGGCCGCGGGGGGAUUUUCUACGUGCCGUGGAUGGUCUUUAUGUGAGUUGCGCAGUUGGUUUGUUAAAGAUUUAUUUAUUAGACAGAAAGAGUGGGAGAGGGGCAGAAGGAGACGGAGAAGAGAAUCUUUUUUUUUUUUUUUCCAUUUUUUUAUGAUAGUCACAGAGAGAAAGGGGC